rnacentral:tRNA from 1 species
GUGGGUAUAGCUCAGUGGUAGAGCAUGUGCUUGGCAUCCACGAAGUCCUGAGUUCAAUCUCCAGUACCUCUA